rnacentral:lncRNA from 1 species
AGCUAGGUAUAUAGAAGGUAUAUUCGAUUCAACAAUCUGAAGUUGUGGAGUUAGCCCUCGGUAUACCAUACUGUAAGCCUCAGAUAAUCACUAGCUUAUUCAAGAAUAAUAUAGUAAAGUCGUAGAGGAAGAAAAGAAAGAAGAGAAAGAACUGGGAGUAUGAGGACAACUUACAGGGAGAAGGAAGGUGGAGACAAACAACAGGAGCUAUUCAACCAUCGUUAGAGGCAAACCUUAGAAGAAUGCUGGAAGAAGAGGAAAGCUGAUUGAUAACACUUAACCAAACAUCGCAAGGACAGGAAGGAGUAUCCUGAACGUAAGGCCAAUGGCUAGCAUACUUCGCUGAACACUCAACUUGAUCUAUAUCGAUAGACACAUCUGAGAGAAUCAUAGUUCCCCCUCUGGGGAUAACUAGUUCUUCUCCCGAGUCCUUGUUUUGUAUGAGAUAACAGCAGUCUUUACUUAACCGAGCAUCGUAGGGCUUACUUCAUCACACAUAGCUGUCUUUACUUUCGUUUCGCUAACCGCCCAAA